ensembl:lncRNA
UCAACACUGGCUGAUGGCAGUUGUGCUGCAUCUACCACGCUGCGGUGAUGUGUGCUGUAGGGUCUGUGUUUCAGCGCGUUUAGCUUUGCUUGUAUUCGGACGCAUUUCAUGUCGUGGUAGAAAUUGGACACCUCAGGUUCCUGGUCCAAGGCAUCAGUCUCCGCGAUCCUGUUCGCUUUAACUGUGGUCAUGUUGUGGUCACACAGUGCUGUACAAGGAGCCGUGGCAGACAGGGAGGUUCUGGAAUCCCAGACAUUGGAGCAUGUCAGGUCAUACUUCUUGAACAGCUCGUGUAUUCGCUGGGGUUCAGUGCAUCGCACAUGUAUCAUCCUUGUUGCGGUCCCGGGCACUAACACCGUAACACUGUGAGGUUCCUGCAGGGUAGAAAAUACAGAAGUAAUAUAAACACGCUUGGUAUAUACAGCAUGUCUUACAAACUUACAUGUUUGUUGUGCAGCUUAAGUAUGGUCAUCUUGUCCGCGAUGGUCAGUUCCCUCCUGAGUAUCCACGCGCACCCUUUUACAAAUUCCACCGUGUUACACACAUGGUCAUAAAAGCUGUCCCCUUGUGUGAUGGUGGUGUGCGUGACACUGUAUUUGUUGGUGCUGACAGGCACUAGAGGUGUGUCAUCCAGCAGUGUAUCCAAUGCUUCCCACUCCAUUGAGCCACGUCCCGGUUCCACCCAUAGAGCUUUCAUCACACUUAGGAGCUGUUGAAUAUACGCAGAGACUCUUUUAAAUUCUACUUGAACACAAAUGAUUGUCAGAUUUUCGGUUUUAGAAUGGUUGUAUAUCCAUCUGCUCAUAUACCACUUAGUUAUUCCAUCGGUCACAAAGUUGAUGUGUGCCUGUGGGACACAGCACCAUCUCACAGCUAUUGUGAUGGUAUCCAUUAGGCUAAGGCUCAGCGCAGAGAAGGAGUUUCAGCUCCUGUUGCUCAGAGUAGAAACACAGAGGAUGCCAUUUAGCACAGAUCAGCGAGGCUUCUAUACACGCAGUGGAGACUCCAAACAGCCGACCGUGGAUUUAUCUGCUGACUUCUCAGUUUGUUCUCGGUCAGCCGUUCCCUGUGCUGCUGGACCAGAAGCAGGUGCACUCCUAUGAACAGUUGGAACGGCCGACCGCGGAUAUCUCUGCUGAAUAUUACUGUGUCACAGGUUGGACUUUCGCAAUGUGGCUGGACCAGGAGCAGGUCCACUCCUCUGAAUAAUUCUAUCUCUGUGUGAAUCUUUGGCUAUGGUUCAGCUGUGGGGGACCUAGAAGGGUUUUCAUCAGUGAACUACAAUACACUUUUGUCUCUUAGGAACUAUCCCACAAGCAAAAGAAAUGACCUCUGAGCUUUGUACGCUGAGAAGUUUUGAAGCCUCCAAGACACACAAGGCUGAGGCGGAGUGAGAAG